CCUACGGGAGGCUGCAGUGAGGAAUAUUGGUCAAUGGGCGCGAGUCUGAACCAGCCAAGUAGCGUGAAGGAUGACUGCCCUACGGGUUGUAAACUUCUUUUAUAAAGGAAUAAAGUGAGGCACGUGUGCCUUUUUGUAUGUAUUUCAUGAAUAAGGACCGGCUAAUUCCGUGCCAGCAGCCGCGGUAAUACGGAGGAUCCGAGCGUUAUCCGGAUUUAUUGGGUUUAAAGGGAGCGUAGAUGGGUUGUUAAGUCAGUUGUGAAAGUUUGCGGCUCAACCGUAGAAUUGCGAUGGAUACUGGCAGCCUUGAGUGCGGUUGAGGUAGGCGGAAUUCGUGGUGUAGCGGUGAAAUGCUUAGAUAUCACGAAGAACUCCGAUUGCGAAGGCAGCCUACUAAACUGCCACUGACGUUGAUGCUCGAAGGUGUGGGUAUCGAACAGGAUUAGAUACCCGUGUAGUC
rnacentral:rRNA from 1 species